GGGAAUUCCCGGAUCACCUGGACUGAAAGGUGAAGAAGGUGACGAAGGUCCACAGGGUCCGAGAGGGAUUCAAGGACCUAUUGGUGCUCCUGGAAAGCCAGGCAAGAGGGGUCGUCCUGGUGCCGAUGGAUCCAGGGGAAUGCCGGGAGAACCUGGAGCAAAGGGGGAUCGUGGUUUCGAUGGAUUGCCAGGCCUCCCAGGAAUGAAAGGACACAGGGGUGAGACAGGGGCAUUGGGCCCACCUGGACCUCCUGGAGAAGACGGGGAAAGGGGUGAUGAUGGAGAGAUCGGUCCACGAGGGUUACCUGGUGAAGCUG